UGUUUCGAGUUACUCCGGAACACCCGGGAUUUUUCGUAUUUAGCCACGCCGGUCACGUGAUAUGAGCAAAAUGUUCCACAGGGGUACUUCCGGUUAAUUUUGUUUACACUGGUAACAAAAUUGUUUUUGACAAAAUAUAGAUUUUGCGGCACAAACUGUCGCAAAUCAGAUAAAGGAUAGCAAGGGAUAUAUAUUUACUUGGGAAGAUGUCAAAGUUUACCUUUUCCCAAACCCGAGAAAAGCGUUCACGCAGAGGAAACGAUGGCGUCAUUUGUGUAGAAAACCACGAGCAGCCGAAAUUGAGUGCGAUUAUUACAUUCCGUGAAAGCUGAACCAACAAAGAAACAUCAUUGUUCUAGCCAGUUUGCUUAUAUUAACUUUUAGGAAAACCAAGAGGUUGAUAACAAUGGCUGAUCUGCAUAUAAUGACUGCUAGUUAUUGGCUGGUAUGCAGUGAAAGGGAGCUAAAAAGGAGUAAAAAGUUCAUAUCAGCCAGGUAGUGUGGUUUAAAUAAACCAGUGUUAAGGAAUAUCCAGUAAUGGCAUGACAUCAUGAGAGUUUGGCAUACCGACAUUCAGAUGAUUAAUGAUGAAACUGAAGACCUCAAGUGAAAGGCAUGGAAAAUUAUCCUGUUCCCAUUAACCUGGAAAAGAGGAGGGAUGCCACAAUAUUGAUAAUAGACUUUUGUCAAUUUGAGAAGCAAAGAUGUAUAAAAAAAAAAAAAAAUAAAUAAAUAAAUAAAUAAAUAAUGCUGAAAUUAUAAUUCAUGUAUUUGUUAAAAAUACUGUUCACUGUACAUACAUGUAUAUUUUUUUUAACUUAUUUGGAAAUACAUGAAGUAAUUCAUAUUAAAACUGAAUGUAUGAGUUUUCAUGAUUUUUAUCAAUAAAGCUUACCAUAUUUAUUGUACAAAUAUCUGAUUUCCCCUAUACAUUGUAGUCAUAUGAGAGCUUGCUUGCAUUCAGAGAUAUGACAUCAUGUAUAAAGCCGAGUUAAACAACUUCAAAAUCUACCCAACAUGUUUUAAAUGAACACAAAAGAUUCUUCCUAAUUUCUUCUCUCUUUUUUUCAAUUUUGUUCAUAAAUUUAUAUUUAAGUCAAUUCACCUUUUUCAAACUUUUGAUGCAUAUGACGGAUUUCCUCUGUAUUGCUAUAUCUAUCAGGCCCAGCACAAUCUCUAUAUUUAACUAUAUAGUUUUAUAAAGCUAUUUCAAACAGCUUCAUUAAGCUAGUUUCGAUUAAAUUUCUUAAGUGCAAUGACACAUAACAAUAUACAUGUACUUUGAACUAACCACAACACUAUUCUAUGUAUAGAUCAUAUGUCAUUUUAAGAAUUUUCAUGAAAAGAGAAUUUCUUUUGUAUUGAUAACUGUCCACUGCCUUAUGUGUGUCGAAGCUUUGAUAAGUAUAUGAUGACUUUACAAUGUGGAAUCUGUAACAACUUAAUAAUCCUAAACAUUUGACAAUUUUGAAUCAAAAUUCUUCCUAAGGUACAUAGUUUAAGAA